GUGAAAUUGUUGAAAGGGAAACGCUUGAAGUCAGUCGCGUCGACCGAGACUCAGCCUUGCCUUGGCUUGGUGUACUUCUCGGCUGACGGGUCAGCAUCAAUUUUGCCCCUUGGAUAAUGAUGAGGGAAACGUGACACCUUUAUGGUGUGUUAUAGUCUCUUGUCGCAUGCAAGGGUCGGGAUUGAGGAACUCAGCACGCACCUUUGGGUGUCGGGGCUUUGCCCACGAUACGUGCUUAGGAUGUUGGCGUAAUGGCUUUAAACGACCCGUCUUGAAACACGGACCAAGGAGUCUAACAUGCCUGCGAGUGUUCGGGUGGAAAACCCGUGCGCGUAAUGAAAGUAAAAGUUGGGACCUCUGUCGUGGAGGGCACCGACGCCCGGACCAGACCUUCUGUGACGGCUCUGCGGUAAAGCAUGUAUGUUAGGACCCGAAAGAUGGUGAACUAUGCCUGAAUAGGGUGAAGCCAGAGGAAACUCUGGUGGAGGCUCGUAGCGAUUCUGACGUGCAAAUCGAUCGUCAAAUUUGGGUAUAGGGGCGAAAGACUAAUCGAACCAUUUAGUAUCUGGUUCCUGCCGAAGUUUCCCUCAGGAUAA
rnacentral:rRNA from 1 species